CACUUCUAAGGAAGGCAGCAGGCGCGCAAAUUACCCAAUCCUGACUCAGGGAGGUAGUGACAAGAAAUAACAAUAAACCGGCUUAUGCCGGUUUAAUUGGAAUGAGUACAAUUUAAACAUCUUAACGAGGAACAAUUGGAGGGCAAGUCUGGUGCCAGCAGCCGCGGUAAUUCCAGCUCCAAUAGCGUAUACUAAAGUUGUUGCAGUUAAAAAGCUCGUAGUUGGAUUUCUGUGGGGACGGAGCGGCCGGCCGCAACUCGCGGUUCGAGCUAGCGCUUUCCCUACAUCCUGCCGCGAACCGUGCUACCAUUAAUUUGGUGGCGCCGGGGAUCGGCUCGAUUACUUUGAGAAAAAUAGAGUGUUCAAAGCAGGCCACACGCCUUGAAUAAGUUAGCAUGGAAUAAUAACUAAGGACUUCGGUUCUAUUUUGUUGGUGUUCGGGACUGAAGUAAUGAUUGAUAGGGACAGUUGGGGCGGUCUGUAUUCCAAAGCGAGAGGUGAAAUUCUUAGACCUUCGGAAGACAAACAGCUGCGAAAGCGUUCCGCAAGGAUGUUCCCUUUGAUCAAGAACGAAAGUUGGGGGAUCGAAGACGAUCAGAUACCGUCGUAGUCUCAACUAUAAACUAUACCAGCUAGGGAUCGGCCAACGUUAUUUAAACCGACUUGGUCGGCACCUUAUGAGAAAUCAAAGCAUCUGGGUUCCGGGGGGAGUAUGGUCGCAAGGCUGAAACUUAAAGGAAUUGACGGAAGGGCACCACCAGCCGUGGAGCCUGUGGCUUAAUUUGACUCAACACGGGAAAACUUACCAGGUCCAGACAUAGUAAGGAUUGACAGAUUGAUAGCUCUUUCUUGAUUCUGUGGGUGGUGGUGCAUGGCCGUUCUUAGUUGGUGGAGUGAUUUGUCUGGUUAAUUCCGUUAACGAACGAGACCCCAGCCUGCUAAAUAGCGCGUGUGAGCUUUGCUCGCAGCGAGCUUCUUAGAGGGACUAUGAUGCGCGAUAGCACAUGGAAGUUUGGGGCAAUAACAGGUCUGUGGUGCCCUUAGAUGUUCUGGGCCGCACACGGGCUACACUGGCGCCUGCAACGAGCAUAUCAGCUGGCCCGAGAGGGUCUUGGCUAAUCUUUUGAACCGGCGCCGUGCUUGGGAUUGACCUUUGCAAUUGUUGGUCAUGCAACGAGGAAUGCCUUGUAAACGCGAGUCAUCAGCUCGCAUUGAAUACGUCCCUGCCCUUUGUACACACCGCCCGUCGCUCCUACCGAUGAAUGUUCCGAUGAAAUUUUCGGAGAGCACCUGUGAACUUGGCUCUGCCUUGCGAACGGGAGGCUCAAAGUCACUUAAAUCUGAACAUUUCGAGG
rnacentral:rRNA from 1 species